CUACGGGGCGCACCAGUGAGGAAUAUUGCACAAUGGGGGGAACCCUGAUGCAGCAACGCCGCGUGGAGGAUGACGCAUUUCGGUGUGUAAACUCCUUUUAUAUGUCAAGAAAAUGACGGUAGCAUAUGAAUAAGCACCGGCUAACUCCGUGCCAGCAGCCGCGGUAAUACGGAGGGUGCAAGCGUUACUCGGAACCACUGGGCGUAAAGGACGCGUAGGCGGGUUGGUAAGUCAGGUGUGAAAUCCUACAGCUUAACUGUAGAACUGCACUUGAAACUUCUAAUCUAGAGUAUGGGAGGGGGAGAUGGAAUUAGUGGUGUAGGGGUAAAAUCCGUAGAUAUCACUAGGAAUACCUAAAGCGAAGGCGAUCUCCUGGAACAUUACUGACGCUAAGGCGUGAAAGCGUGGGGAGCAAACAGGAUUAGAUACCCGGGUAGUC
rnacentral:rRNA from 1 species